UACGGGGGGGGCAAGCGUUGUUCGGAAUUACUGGGCGUAAAGGGCUCGUAGGCGUCCAACUAAGUCGGAUGUGAAAUCCCCAGGCUUAACCUGGGGACUGCAUUUGAUACUGCUUGGCUUGAAUUCGGGAGAGGAUAGCGGAAUUCCCAGUGUAGAGGUGAAAUUCGUAGAUAUUGGGAAGAACACCGGUGGCGAAGGCGGCUAUCUGGACCGACAUUGACGCUGAGGCGCGAAAGCGUGGGGAGCAAACAGG
rnacentral:rRNA from 1 species